rnacentral:rRNA from 1 species
CCUACGGGAGGCAGCAGUGAGGAAUAUUGGUCAAUGGGCGCGAGCCUGAACCAGCCAAGUAGCGUGAAGGAUGACUGCCCUAUGGGUUGUAAACUUCUUUUAUAAGGGAAUAAAGUGAGGGAUGUGUACCUCUUUGCAUGUACCUUAUGAAUAAGGAUCGGCUAACUCCGUGCCAGCAGCCGCGGUAAUACGGAGGAUCCGAGCGUUAUCCGGAUUUAUUGGGUUUAAAGGGAGCGUAGAUGGGUUGUUAAGUCAGUUGUGAAAGUUUGCGGCUCAACCGGAAAAUUGCAAUUGAUACUGGCAGUCUCGAGUACAGUAGAGGUAGGCGGAAUGCGUGGUGUAGCGGUGAAAUGCUUAGAUAUCACGAAGAACUCCGAUUGCGAAGGCAGCUUGCUGGACUGACACUGACGCUGAUGCUCGAAAGUGUGGGUAUCAAACAGGAUUAGAUACCCGUGUAGUC